rnacentral:lncRNA from 1 species
GGAAUCAAUGUGUGAGGUGGUGCUAUGUAGCAGGAACCCCUCUUGCUUUGCAAAUAGUUUUUUGUUUGUUUUCCUUUUUGCCCAAUAGAGCCCUGCUCUACUGACCCUUCAAUGUGCCCGUGUGCCUAAAUAUUCCUGGUCGUGUGAAAAGAACCCAGCAGUCAAGCUCAACUUGCAGAACUGAUGGGAACCCCUUGGGAAAACUGGCCUCAAAUGUUUGUCUACACAGUCCACAUACAGGGUUCUUAACCUGCGGAAACACUUUCUGAAAAUGUCAGAACUCUUGAAAACAUGGAUGAGGAAAAGCAUAAGUACUGCUUUAUGCUUUUCUUAUGAAUUUUAAAAGAUGUAAUUUAAAGAUGGAGUCUUGUUCUGUGGUCCAGGCUAGAGGGCAGUGGCAUGAUCUCGGCUCACUACAAGCUCUGCCUCCCGGGUUCACGCCAUUCUCCUGCCUCAGCCUCCUGAGUAGCUGGGACUACAGGCGCCCGCCACCACGCCUGGCUAAUUUUUUGUAUAUUUACUAGAGAUGGCUAGUGUUAGCCAAGAUGGUCUCGAUCUCCUGACCUCGUGAUCUGCCCACCUCAGCCUGCCAAAGUGCUGGGAUUACUGGCGUGAGCCACCGUGCCUGGCCAGCAUCCUCUAAUUAUUAUUCAUAGUUUGUGAAUUUAGGCCUACGUGAAUAAUAAUAUAAUAUUUACUAUGAUGUUACUAUCUACCAACCUUAUUUUUCUUUUCUAUAAAAUAGGAGCCAAAAUAAUAUUUAUGUCAUACCUUAUGAAGUUAAAAUAAAAUAUAACGAAUGAGGGGCUUAACAA